rnacentral:rRNA from 1 species
UGUGGGUGAUAAGAUUCAUAGUCGAAAGGGCAACAGCCCAGAUCGUCAGCUAAGGUCCCUAAAUGUAAGUUAAGUGGUAAAGGAUGUGGGAUUGCACAGACAGCCAGGAUGUUGGCUUAGAAGCAGCCACUCAUUCAAAGAGUGCGUAAUAGCUCACUGGUCGAGUGAUCCUGCGCCGAAGAUUUCCGGGGCUAAAACUUACUAC